GUCGACCCCUAAGGCGAGGCCGAAAGGCGUAGUCGAUGGGAAACAGGUUAAUAUUCCUGUACUUGGUGUUACUGCGAAGGGGGGACGGAGAAGGCUAUGUUGGCCGGGCGACGGUUGUCCCGGUUUAAGCGUGUAGGCUGGUUUUCCAGGCAAAUCCGGAAAAUCAAGGCUGAGGCGUGAUGACGAGGCACUACGGUGCUGAAGCAACAAAUGCCCUGCUUCCAGGAAAAGCCUCUAAGCAUCAGGUAACAUCAAAUCGUACCCCAAACCGACACAGGUGGUCAGGUAGAGAAUACCAAGGCGCUUGAGAGAACUCGGGUGAAGGAACUAGGCAAAAUGGUGCCGUAACUUCGGGAGAAGGCACGCUGAUAUGUAGGUGAAGCGACUUGCUCGUGGAGCUGAAAUCAGUCGAAGAUACCAGCUGGCUGCAACUGUUUAUUAAAAACACAGCACUGUGCAAACACGAAAGUGGACGUAUACGGUGUGACGCCUCCCCGGUGCCGGAAGGUUAAUUGAUGGGGUUAGCCGCAAGGCGAAGCUCUUGAUCGAAGCCCCGGUAAACGGCGGCCGUAACCAUAACGGUCCUAAGGUAGCGAAAUUCCUUGUCGGGUAAGUUCCGACCUGCACGAAUGGCGUAAUGAUGGCCAGGCUGUCUCCACCCGAGACUCAGUGAAAUUGAACUCGCUGUGAAGAUGUAGUGUACCCGCGGCAAGACGGAAAGACCCCGUGAACCUUUACUAUAGCUUGACACUGAACAUUGAGCCUUGAUGUGUAGGAUAGGUGGGAGGCUUUGAAGUGUGGACGCCAGUCUGCAUGGAGCCGACCUUGAAAUACCACCCUUUAAUGUUUGAUGUUCUAACGUUGACCCGUAAUCCGGGUUGCGGACAGUGUCUGGUGGGUAGUUUGACUGGGGCGGUCUCCUCCUAAAGAGUAACGGAGGAGCACGAAGGUUGGCUAAUCCUGGUCGGACAUCAGGAGGUUAGUGCAAUGGCAUAAGCCAGCUUGACUGCGAGCGUGACGGCGCGAGCAGGUGCGAAAGCAGGUCAUAGUGAUCCGGUGGUUCUGAAUGGAAGGGCCAUCGCUCAACGGAUAAAAGGUACUCCGGGGAUAACAGGCUGAUACCGCCCAAGAGUUCAUAUCGACGGCGGUGUUUGGCACCUCGAUGUCGGCUCAUCACAUCCUGGGGCUGAAGUAGGUCCCAAGGGUAUGGCUGUUCGCCAUUUAAAGUGGUACGCGAGCUGGGUUUAGAACGUCGUGAGACAGUUCGGUCCCUAUCUGCCGUGGGCGCUGGAGAACUGAGGGGGGCUGCUCCUAGUACGAGAGGACCGGAGUGGACGCAUCACUGGUGUUCGGGUUGUCAUGCCAAUUGCACUGCCCGGUAGCUAAAUGCGGAAGAGAUAAGUGCUGAAAGCAUCUAAGCACGAAACUUGCCCCGAGAUGAGUUCUCCCUGACUCCUUGAGAGUCCUGAAGGAACGUUGAAGACGACGACGUUGAUAGGCCGGGUGUGUAAGCGCAGCGAUGCGUUGAGCUAACCGGUACUAAUGAACCGUGAGGCUUAACCC
rnacentral:rRNA from 1 species